UUCUUAAGGUUUUUAAGUUGGAGAGCUGUUGACCAAAGUCAUUGGACUGAAUAUUUCCAUCAUAAAAGGCAUGGUAACAAAAUGUUGGCAAAAGGCCUUUGCUUAAUUCAUAGUUUAUUCAACAAAACUCUCACCUGGGGGAAGACAGAGUUAAAAGGCCAGUAACAGUGGGAGGGUCAAUAAACCAUCUACCAAAGUGCUGGUGAGGUCAGGUCUUAAACCAUGUGUGAAAUGUGGAUUCUAGGCAAAGACCUCUGUUCACAUCAGUCACCAAGUUAAUUAAAUCUUGAUCUUCUGCAUCUCCAAAUGCACCUAGGACAGCCUUGCAAAAAUGAUCCUUAUCAGAGCCAUUGGAUAUCCAGGAGAUUUGCCUAUUCAGAGGUGAAUGAAGUCAGCUUUUCUGUGGGAUACACAUUGAGAAUGCAAUGGGAAAAGGUGAAGAAAAUGUUUCCUCACACUCUCCUUCUCUUCGUUGCAUUUGAUGUCAUACAUUUGUGAGCUAUGGCUGCAGUAUCAGCACUAGUCACUGCUGAGAUGACUGUUGAAACUCUACUUGGAACAGGCAACAAUUAGCACCCAAGGAGAUGGGCUCCAUUAGCCUGGGCUACCACAGACUUAAAAUCAAAGCUACUUGAAUUCCAGAUGGCUCAAAGUAUAUCUUAAUCUGUCUUGAGCAAGUCCCCUAAUCCUGGAAUCUUUCACUGUUCCCUGGACCAGUAAUACCAUUGUGCAAUCCUUCCUCAGUAUCUGGUGACAUCCUGUGUUUGGAAUGGCCACUUCUAAUGCCUGCAUUUGCUGAGAAGUUCUUUGGAGAAGGGGCAUAGAAGCAAAUGAAGUCAUAUUCCUUCUUGUAGUUCCAAAUCUCACCAGGAAGAGGAGAUCCUUAGACCAAUGUUCUUUCCCCUGAACCAGAGAUGAGGAACUUUUUCACAACUCUUGUGCCUUUUUGAGAAGAUGGGAGAAGUAACUACACACUGCCUUCCCCUUUCUCUUCUCACUGACCCCUCUCCAUGGAAAGAAGAGCAGCCAAUGAGAUGAGUCAGAGUCAGAUGCUAGGACUUGACUAUAAGCCACAGGUUUGAUUACUAGAAAGGAGUCCUGAUCCAGACCCCAAGAGAGGGUUGUUUGAUCUUGUGCAAGAAAGAAUUCAGGGUAAGUCCAUAGAGUAAAGUGAAAACAAGUUUAUUGGGAAAGUAAAGGAAUAAAGAAUGUCUACUCCAUAGGCAGAGGAGGAGCAGGGGCUGCUCAGCUGCUUAUAGUUAUUGUUACUUCUUGAUUAUAUGCUAAACAGGUGUGGAUUAUUCAUGAGGUUUCCAGGAAAGGGGUGGCCAAGUCCCAGAGCUGAGGGUCCCACCCCUUUUUAGCCCAUAUAGGAUAACUUCCUGACAUUGCCAUGACAUUCAUACUGUCAUGGUGCUGGUGAGAGCAUCUUUUAGCAUGCUAAUGCAUUAUAAUCAGUGGAUAAUGAGCAAUGAAGACCACCAGGGGUCACUUUCAUCCUUUCAUCACCAUCUUGGUUUUGGUGGGUUUUGGCUGGCUUCUUUACUGGAAACUGUUUUAUCAGCAAGGUCUUCGUGACCUGUACCUUGUGCCAACCUCCUAUUUCGUCCUGUGAUUUAGAAUGCCUAACCUCCUGGGAAUACAGUCUAAUAGGGCUCAGCCUUAUUUUAACCAGCCCCUAUUCAAGAUGGAGUCACUCUGGUUCAAACGCCUCUAAUAGUUUUACCCUGACUCUGCCUGGGCCCUGCUUGCCUCCUGGAUUGGUCAUUAGUGCAGUGGGUUCUCACCUGCUUCCUUCCCUCUUACUGGAGGUUCUCCUCCCUCAGAACAUACCUUUAGCCUCCCCAUUCAUGAUUAGUGAGUAAAUGAGGUUUAUGCAGUCCUGUGGGCUCAGCUGACUCUACUUAAUUGUUAACAGAAUUUGAUAUCCUACUUGAGUCCUCAAACCUUAGCCAUUUCUUUUAGCACAGUUUACGACAAAUCCUACUUGUUAGUCACUGUUUUUACAUGAUUAAUAAAGCCGAAAUUUUUAGUCUUGUUUUGGCUAAUGAUUCUUGUGCCAAUUCUUUCCAUAGAUUAAAAUUUGGGGAGAACAGAAUGGAGUAAUUGUCACCUCUAAUCACUAAGCCUCAGAUAUAGUCAAAUUUGAAUGAACCAUUAUUUAAGUUAACUUUAUUUUUCUAUCCUAGGCUUCUAAAGAGAUGAUUGACCUAAAAAAAGCUAAAGUAUGGGAUUUUAAUAAGAAAAAUUUCAGAAUUAAUACAUAUUUGGCUUAACUUUUAAUCUCUUAAAGGUGAGAAUGAGAAGGGGGUGUUAGUGGUUUGACAAAAAGGAAAAGGAAGAAAAUUCUAUAUCCAUCUUAAAAAGUGGGAGAGUUAAUUCACUAGUGGGUUGUAAGAGGAUCUCUGG
rnacentral:lncRNA from 10 species